UCCCAGACUCCUACGGGAGGCAGCAGUCGGGAAUAUUGCGCAAUGGAGGAAACUCUGACGCAGUGACGCCGCGUAUAGGAAGAAGGUUUUCGGAUUGUAAACUAUUGUCGUUAGGGAAGAUACAAGACAGUACCUAAGGAGGAAGCCCCGGCUAACUACGUGCCAGCAGCCGCGGUAAUACGUAGGGGGCAAGCGUUAUCCGGAUUUACUGGGUGUAAAGGGGGCGCAGACGGCGAUGCAAGCCAGGAGUGAAAGCCCGGGGCCCAACCCCGGGACUGCUCUUGGAACUGCGCGGCUGGAGUGCAGGAGGGGCAGGCGGAAUUCCUGGUGCAGCGGUGAAAUGCGUAGAUAUCAGGAGGAACACCGGCGGCGAAGGCGGCCUGCUGGACCGCGACUGACGUUGAGGCUCGAAAGCGUGGGGAGCGAACAGGAUUAGAUACCCGCGUAGC
rnacentral:rRNA from 1 species